rnacentral:tRNA from 1 species
GCCACGGUGGCACAACUUGGUACUGCGCAAGAUUGGAAAUCUUGUUUCCUCUGGAUAUCCCAGUUCAAAUCUGGGCCGUGGCG